rnacentral:lncRNA from 1 species
AUAGAGUACCAGCUAGCUCAGGGAUGGUGGGUCCAGGUGAUUUGAAAUAAAUAAAUGAAAAACAGUUGAUCUAGUCCAACCUCCUUAUCUUUCAGAAGAGGGAACAGGUGAGUUUCUUUGUCAUUAAAUAAGUAGCAAGUAGGGUUAGGUUUGGGGGUCAGGCCCCAGAGUUUUAUGGCAGUUUUCCAUGAGCAAGAAAAUUAUUCAAAAAGCUGGAUAUUAGGAAUAUGGUGGGAGAAAGGAUGGUGGUGAAGGGGGAAGCUAAAAUAUCAAGAAAUGAGAGGCCCAGAGCAAGAGAAGAAAAGGAGCUUUUGGAGUGGAGCUGGUGGAGGGAACCAGAUACUGACUUAGUGAUGCUGGGGCUGCUACUGAUGCUGAUGCUGAGAAGGUACCUGAAUGAUAACGGCUUACCUGGAAUCCAUACAGAAUGGCUUUGGAUAUCUAAAGGCAAAACCAAAAUGAUAGAAAUUUCUACCUCCCUCCCAGUCCUUAAUCUUGCUCUAGACCUCACCCUUCAUUUCUUUAAGGAUUUGCUUUUGUUCUAUGUUUACUAUUUCUGGAGAGAAAUCAUUUUCUCUAAAACUGUAACCAUGGUCUGGAGGAGUUGAGCCAUUCAAUUUUGGAACUCUCACCCUGGGGACAUACUGUCUCAAUUAGAGAGAGUUGACUAUAUCUAGCCAGACCAAGACUCAUCUCUCUUCAGCACUUCUACUUUCCAUGACAUGACCUAUUCAUGUAUGUGUAUGUGUGUUUGUAUCCUGCUAGGACACAAAAACCAAAAGGGAAAUUCUUUUUCCAAUUGCUGGGAUUUCCUCUAGCUUGGGACUUUGGUUAAAUAAAAGAUUUUGUAGGCGGAUGUUUUUAUUGCUU